rnacentral:lncRNA from 1 species
AUGCAACCCUAAAUACCUUGGAUCUAUGUUUUCUCUAUUAUACAUGCAAAUAUAAAUAUUCCAAGGUAUUACCCUAACUAGCAUACAAUCUUUGAUACUUAGGUAAUAAACUAGAUAGAAAUACAUACCUUGUUGAUGUAGAUUGACUCCAAGAAGCUGAAGAGCCUAGUGCCCCAAGUGUGACACCUCAAAUGGUUUACACAACACCAUGAACACUUGGAAUAACCUUGAGAAUAAGGAUACCUUGGUUCUCUCUAGUGCAAUCGGCCUUGCGCUCUUGCGUACACACUCUAUUCCAAAUUUUACCAACCAAGGACAUCUUUAUAUACUGUGGAGAUUAGGGUUAAACCCAUGACCUUUCAUUUCAUAUGAUCCAUGGGUUUAAACACUCCAUGGACUAUCCAUGAAAGCUUAGCUCAACCUAAAUGAACUUGGCCCAUCACACACAUAUAUCUUAGAGUCUAUAUUUAAUUAGUUCCUUUUUGAUUACUUAAUUAAUUACAGAUUAAUUCUUGAUCAAUACUAAAAUAAUAUGAUUAUAUAUUAAUAUAUUAGAACUUAUAAUAUAUUAAUAUAAAUCACUAGUACCCUUUUUCCUCAUCUUGUCAAUCCAAUUGUCCCAAUGCCAUGCAACCCAAAUGGAACAUGCCAGGUCAUGUCAAGUCUUACCAAUUAUAGUUAUGCACUUAGACAUUAAUCCAAUAGUCUCCCACUUGGAUAAGUCUAAAACUAUUAUUGCAAGUAUGACUUCAUAACCCGACUAGCAAUCGUAUCUCUCAAAAGCUUCUGUCGAACUCUAACCUCUGACAAUGACUUGUGCAGUAGAUAAGGGAUCAUAUAUUCCUCCAUUCUAGAUACCAUAUGGACUAAGACAUGGAUUAAAAUCAUUCUCUUUAUCCAUUUGUUGUUUCCCGAUUUCCGAUUCAUGAUGAUUGACUGNACCCAAAUGGAACAUGCCAGGUCAUGUCAAGUCUUACCAAUUAUAGUUAUGCACUUAGACAUUAAUCCAAUAGUCUCCCACUUGGAUAAGUCUAAAACUAUUAUUGCAAGUAUGACUUCAUAACCCGACUAGCAAUCGUAUCUCUCAAAAGCUUCUGUCGAACUCUAACCUCUGACAAUGACUUGUGCAGUAGAUAAGGGAUCAUAUAUUCCUCCAUUCUAGAUACCAUAUGGACUAAGACAUGGAUUAAAAUCAUUCUCUUUAUCCAUUUGUUGUUUCCCGAUUUCCGAUUCAUGAUGAUUGACUGAAUGAACAUAUCAAAUCAGUCUUGGCUUGGCCAAGCACUCACAUGUCUCAUCAUUAAAUCAUCGAGGGGCCCACAGAUAUCGCUUUUAUCCCGAAGGUAAAAGGAAUGGAUAAACUUUGACUCGUAUGGCUUGUUCUACUACCUGUUGAAUCAUACAUAAAGGAACAUUUUAUAACAUCGAGUUACCAAUGCAGUUUCGUGCGAUCAAUGUAUAACCAACUCAUAGUAACAACUCAUAUCUCUAGGUUUGAAGAAUAUAAGAUAUUAUCGUCUCAUGAUCACUCAUGAUAAAAUCCAUGAAGUAAUCCCAAUGAGCGUAGGUUGAAUCCAAUACUCAUAAGUUAUGAGCACUCAUGAGUGUUGUAGCACCACUUUCUCUAACAAAUUAGACCUCUACAAGACAACCCAUGACAGUCUUUAUUCAUAUCUACUUCCAACAUAUGACCGACUGUUGACGGUUUGAAUAACUUAGUCAUUCAGGAAAAACGACCUAGUUAUUCUGGAAGUCAAAACAUGCAAAGUGAAACACAAGAAUAAUCGAAUCCAAUAUGGUCUCAGAACUUAUGAAUAUAGAUAAAACAACUUUUAUUUAUCACCAUAUUCAUUACCCAUCAUUCAUUGCAUACUGUUUCAAACUACCAACUAUAUACUUGAAUUAAAACAAUAGUUGUCCAAUGCUCCAAGCAUGUACACUAUGUUUUCUAAACACUAAUCAUGCCAUACACCAAGUAUGCAUACUAAGUUUGUCUGUGAUCUUUACAUUGUGAAAUAGAUAGAUUGAACAUAAUUCCAAUGAUUCUCAUUUCACACUCCCAAUUCCUUACUGCAGAUGCAAGAAUUCCAAAUUCCUUCCAUUUACCUAAAUUUGUUAGAUUCUAAACUUAUAUGCAUUGGUCCUCUUGUAAUGAUUAUGCAUAAAGUCAUAAAUACUUGUCAACAUACAUUACAGAGUAUUCCAAUGGAGACCAACUCCAUGGAAGUGAAGUCUCAUAUUCAAAGUUCAUUGCCUUUGAACAUUCUUCUUGCAUUAAGCUUCCUAAUCUUACACAUAUUUAAUGAAUAACUUCUAACUAAGGGAACAUUUCCAUAUUCCCAUUUUGACUAUUACUCUUGAACAAGAGUUUCCUCUUUUAAGAAUAUGUCAAUAUGGUCCUUCCAUAAUUAACACUAUACUUCCAAUUGUCCUUGAGCAAGCAAUCUUUGGUAAACCUUAGAUUGUCCUCGAUAAUUGCUUAAUCAUUUUAGUCAUAUCCAAUUCUAGACUUUUCCCCUUCUUAAUGCCCCAGUCAUUUGGAAAAUUUUAAAAAAGGAUGAACCUUAUAGCACACGCAAUCGAUCCUAUAGCUGAAUCAUAUGGGACACGAUUCAUAAUGUCUCACAUAAAGACAUGAUACUAGACUAGUCCUUUUGCUACAAUAUUUCUAUUUGCCAAGUUCUCAUAAUUCAGAUUAUGAAAAGGGAUGUCGUAAUCAUAAUCGAAUUUUAGAACGCAAAUAAUAGACCCAUAUACAGAAUUUCCUUAUGUUGAGCCAUUCCAACACAAAAUUCAUAUAUAUCCUUGACUAAAGAUGAUUAAAACCUCAAAUCUAAGCAUUUAGAAUUGAAAUGAAGUAUAAUUUCCUCUCCCUUAAUUAUAGAAAAACAACUUUUCAACCCAUGUAACUCCACGAAUUGAAACUUUUGUUUUCUAUAAUUAACAUUGCUUAACCUCCAACCCUUAUCAUAAUUGUCAUGCUCCCACUAACAUGAUGAUUAUAAGCAUAACACUUAAGCUCCCACUAGCUUUAAGAUGUACUCAGAAAUCAGUUGGACUUCUAGAAAUCAAUACUUUAUUGACUUUCUUACCAAAGUUCAGACUUCUGAUACAAGAUACUUUGAUAGAAACUUUAUCAAAAUCAUACACCUUAUCUUAGAUAGCAAGUUGGUGUGUCUAAACAAUUUCAGAACUAUGAAAAGGGAUGCCGUAAUCAUAGUCUUAAUUGUUUAGACCUUUUGCCAUCUGCUUCAAAUCUACUUGGUGAAAGUGUUUCCUCACAAUCAUUUUCAUGAAAUUGUUUAGACCUUAUGGUGUAUGUUUUCUUAUCCAUGUGAAUUGUCAAAACCAUAGUCACAAGACAAGGAUAAUGACAAAUCCAAACUCAUAUGGGCUGAACUCUAUCUUAAUUUCUUGCCAGCUCGCAGCCCAUGGGCCUGCCAUUGCUUCCAAGUUGAUAUGCAACAAAUUGAGAACUCUAGAAACACAUAUGCAAAGCCAUCUUUAACUGGAAUGGGCACAAAAAUAGAAAUAUCUCAACACGUUAGGUUAUAAACUUCACGUCGUGUCCUAGUGUCAAACUAUAGGUUUUUAUUCUUGAUUAGAUCUUGAAAUUCUUUUGAAGAUCUUUAAGACUCCCACUAUCCUCUUGACACAUAAGACUCACUUGCCAAAUAUUCAAGAGAUAAUUUGGAUUCUUUAUCAAGACAAACACUUCACACAAUUGGUCUUAGUUGGUCUUUGUUUCAUCCAAAACAUCACAACUUACCAAUUUCAAAUGUACAAGAGUAGGAUCCUUUUACUCUUACAUUUGACUAGUGUUAAGAAACCUUCCUUUAAAAUGUGUCACUCAAGUUAAAAUUUUGGAGUAUGACUCUAAGAAUUGUUUUUGAAACCAUGUAUGACUCGUCUUCUUGAUUUAACCAUUCAAACAAUUCAAGAUUCCUAUUCUUACUCAUAAGAAUGCACUAAGAUUUCCUUAGAGGACUAAUUGUGAUAUGAUUUCCAAAUCAUUAAGAUGAUCACUAAACCUGAUACUAAAGUACUCUCCCAUCUUUUCAGAUUUGAGAAACUUUUAUCCUUCUGCCUAAUUUGAUUCUUCUCAUUCGUUAUGCCAUACACUGAAAAUUUUCCAAUGCUUUAGAAUUAUACUUAACCCUGUAAGUAUAACCGUAUUUACUAAACUUUAGUAAAUGAUGACGAAUAGCCUUAUCGAUCUUUUGUGGUGGACUUGACCAGUGCACAAGAACGUGUACUUGAUCCCUUAGUCAUUCACUUGACUCACAUAUACAUGUGAGCAAGGAAUUAGUCUUAAUUUUCCAAAGAUGAAAAUUCUCAUUCAUCAUACUAUACAACUUGCAUGAAUUCAAGUUUCGGUCCAAUUGAAACUUGGGUGAUGAGAAUCUUCCUUAUUUGGUAAAUUUAGACACCACCACAGAUGAAAGAAUCAAAUUCAUAUUUCCAUUAUUGCUAGAACCAUAUAAAUAUCAAUUUUUCAAUAAAAGCCAUUGCAAGGAGAUAUAAACUAAAAUAAAAUCAACAUUUUAUUUAUUUAUAAAAUGCAGAAAAAAAACUUUUCCUUACAAUGCAACUUUAAAUGAAAACUAUGCUAUUUCAUGUUUCCGAGCAAUCUAUCAUAACUCCUAAGAGUAGCUCAAGAAUCGGAUCUUCAAUCAAUUGAUAGAAAUCCAUCUUCGUGAUCAGAUUCAACAUACUCUUUCUUUAAGUUUCCUUCACUUUUCCUUUGAUUCUUACAACAUCAACAUGUGACCCAGUCACAUCAUGUAAUAAGAAUCUCAUAAGAGAAACUUAAUCGAGUUAGAUAGCCGACUUUACCUGAAGUCGAGUCAAACUUAUUGACUUUACCAGCCUUAUGAUCUUUUAGGUAUAUUUGGCAGCUUCGCAACCAAUGCCUCUUCCUUUUAGCAAUAGAACCAUAUGGACCCUUUAGUACAUGGGACAAUCUCAGACAUAGCCUUUCUCUUUACAAUUUGGUCAACCGAGUUGACUAUGGCCAAUCCCUUUUUCAACGGGAAGAGAAAGCUUUUACUCGGUAUCCAAUGCAACCAUUGUUAAUGUCCAUUGAAGGUUUGGAAAGUUGAUCUUCUAAUCAAAUUAACUUUACCAAAGCUCCAAAGCAUUAGUGAUUCAGAGUACCAAGUAGAUAGAUAAGAUCAUUAAGGGUCAUGUCAUAGUCUAUUUCAUAGUAGUCUCAAAGGUAACUCAGUAUGUGACUUAGAAAGUGAUUAAACAUCCAACUUUCUUUAGACUUUGACACCCAACUCUCCCGGCUUGUUAAUAUGUGACAUCAACUCCAAGAUGUGAGCACACAUAGUCCUUGCUUGCCAUUAGGGAUUGAGUGACCUAGAACUUGUGGGAAAGGGAGAAUAAAUGGAGGAGGUGGAGGAAGUGAAGUUCCAAGAGAUUUGGGAAGAUCAUAGAUGUCUGAACUAGACAUCUUUUGGGAGAUAUUCAAGAUAGUUGAUUUAAAGUCCUUAAUAUAACACCCAAUAUGAAAUAUUAAGGCUAGGACCCAACACAAUACUUUUAUAACUUGGAAGAGAGAUGUCGUAAUCCAAGAUAAAAAAAUAUUUAAAGGUAGGUGAAUGACGAUUCACCAAUUUCCACCAUGAAAAACGAAAUAAAUUAUUAGGUUUUUAAUUGGAUUUGAAACUCCUAGAUCUUUUAAGAUUCAUUGAACUGUUUAGUGGCAUGUUUCAAUCUCGACUGUGCCCUUCAAGUUUUGUGACUGGGAUGCCGAGGAUCACAAAACAAGGUGUAACGUAACCAUGCAAAUCACUUAGUACCCUUAAUAUUUACCCCUUAAUCGAUGUGUCGGUUAACCACACGCGCUCCACCGAUGCUAUGAUAAACAUUAAGUUACCCGUUGUCCACCUUGUUAAAUCAAGCUAGUGUGCCGGUUAACCGCACACGCUCCACUAACCAACUUAAACAAAGUGCAAAGUGUAAUUUCAUGGAUUAGCACCUAAUUCACAUUUUCCUAAAGUAACUAAGAUUGGGAAUUUAUAAAAGGUUUAGUUACUUUAUAUUUAUCAUUAAUAAUUUUAAUGAAGGGAGAAUUAUAGUCCUUGUCCUACCUGUUCGGCUAACGACCCUCCACCAGUCAAGGAAGCGGUGGGUGAGAGUGGACACCCAUUAAACUGCCAUUUUNCCCCCCUUAUAGACUGGCUUCGUGAAUGAGACCUACUAAUGGUAAGAGGAAUUGCUCUUAUACAUAUAUAUAAAUAUUAUUAACUUAUAAUAUUAUAAAGUAUAAGGGUUAAAUUUUAACUUUUAGAAUUCUAAGGGCUUAACUUGGAAUUAAAGUAUUCAUAAGGGAAAACUUUUCAAAUUCCAAAACUUGAGGUCAUGUUUUGAAACUAUUCAAAACUAUUCAAUUCCAUAACUUAUGUGUUUAAAGUAGUUUUAAUCCAAAAACUCUUCAAGUUCCAUAACUUGAGGACAAGUUAUGGAAUACUUUAAACUAUUAAAAGAAUGUGACUUUUCUUUAUUCAUAACCUAUGGAAAUAUUUAUGAGUUUUAUAAAUCUUAAAUGUGACUUUUCAUAUAACUUGAGGAAAAGUUACAAAAACACAAUUUAGAAUCAACUCUUAGAUUAAUUUGGAUUAAAAACAACAAUUUCACAUAACUUUCCUAUUAAUCUAACCAACUCAUAAGAACAAGAUAAUUCAAAUCAAACUUUUUCAUGUAAUUAGCCUUAUCCUUAAACUAAUACAAAACAUAAAUCUAUUGACAAUUAUCUUCAAAAUUGGAUUAGAAUGAACAUUACCACAUCAAAAACAGGUUUAUAGGUUCAAAAACAGCUUAGGGUAAUGAUUCUAGUCCAAUUCAAGCCUUAAAAGUCGGAAAUAUGUUGUCUGGGGGUCCUACUUGUAGAGUGUAUGAACCUACUCGACGAGUAGCAUGAGAUUCUUCAUGGACUCGGCAAGUCCAUCUGUGUAUUCGGCGAGUCCAGUGCCCAGACAGCACGAAAAUCGAUUUUUUCAGCAUUUUUCAACACUUUGCAUCAAGUAUAAUUGAAAACAAGCCUAGGCUCUGAUACCACUAUUGGGUUUUGAGCAUUCUAACACUCCUAAGUGUACAUGCAACCCUAAAUACCUUGGAUCUAUGUUUUCUCUAUUAUACAUGCAAAUAUGAAUAUUCCAAGGUAUUACCCUAACUAGCAUUCAAUCAUUGAUACUUGGGUAAUAAACUAGAUAGAAAUACAUACCUUGUUGAUGUAGCUUGAAUCCAUGAAGCUUGAGAGCCUAGUGCCCCAAGUGUGACACCUCAAGUGGUUCACAAAAAUCCAUGAACACUUCGAAUAACCUUGAGAAAAGGAUACCUUGGUUCUCUCUAGUGAAAUCAGUCUUGCCCUUUUGUGUACACACUCUAGUCAAAAUUUCACCAACCAAGGACAUCUUUAUAUAGUGUGGAGAUUAGAGUUAAAACCUAAUACCCAUGACCUUUCAUUUCAUAUGAUCCAUGGGUUUAAACACUCCAUGGACUAUCCAUGAAAGCUUAGGCCAACUAAAUGAACUUGGCCCAUCAUACACAUAUAUCUUAGAGUCCAUAUUUAAUUAGUUCCUUUUUGAUCACUUAAUUAAUUACAAAUUAAUUCUUGAUCAAUAAU